UGUUCUGUGGCUUAGUUGUUUAAACACCAGUCUAGCGAAUACGGAGUCGUGGGUUCGACUCCCACCAGAGCGU
rnacentral:tRNA from 1 species